CCCUUAGAUGUUCUGGGCCGCACGCGCGCUACAAUGAUGAAUUCAACGAGUUUAUAACCUUGGUUGAAAAGCCUGGGUAAUCUUUUGAACUUUCGUCGUGAUGGGGCUAGACCCUUGCAAUUAUUGGUCUCCAACGAGGAAUUCCUAGUAAACGCAAGUCAUCAGCUUGCAUUGAUUACGUCCCUGCCCUUUGUACACACCGCCCGUCGCACCUACCGAUUGAAUGGUCCGGUGAAAUCUUCGGAUUGAGACUUUGAUUUCUUCACGGAAAACGUUGUUUUAUAAAGUUGAUCAAACCUUACCAUUUAGAGGAAGGUGAAGUCGUAACA
rnacentral:rRNA from 1 species